UGGGGAAUAUUGCACAAUGGGGGAAACCCUGAUGCAGCGACGCCGCGUGAGCGAAGAAGGCUUUCGAGUCGUAAAGCUCUGUCCUAUGAGAAGAUAAUGACGGUACCAUAGGAGGAAGCCCUGGCUAAAUACGUGCCAGCAGCCGCGGUAAUACGUAUGGGGCGAGCGUUGUCCGGAAUUAUUGGGCGUAAAGGGUACGUAGGCGGUUUUUUAAGUCAGGUGUCAAAGCGUGGAGCUUAACUCCAUUAAGCACUUGAAACUGAAAGACUUGAGUGAAGGAGAGGAAAGUGGAAUUCCUAGUGUAGCGGUGAAAUGCGUAGAUAUUAGGAGGAAUACCGGUGGCGAAGGCGACUUUCUGGACUUUUACUGACGCUCAGGUACGAAAGCGUGGGGAGCAAACAGG
rnacentral:rRNA from 1 species